AUUGAUCCCAUUUUUCCACUUCAAUAUCAGUCAUUUCGCUGCUUUCCUCCUUCGAAAUAUGCUCACUUUUUCUUCUCUGGUUUUUCCGCUUCUUCAUUUUGUUGUUAAUUUUCUUUUUGGGUCUUGGUUAACUCCAAGCUUUGUUUUACUAUUCUUUUUCUAUAUGUAUUCUUGGUUCGUCUGAUAUCACACAUUUCUGAAGUGUUGCAUGUGAGUAAUUUCUUUUAUUUUAAUGAAAUUUUAAAUUUUAACCUAAGAUUUGAAAUUGGGGUAGUAAAAAUUCAAUGUGAUCAAGCAACUGAAACACACAUAGGAUUUUUUGGGGUGCAAGAGGAAUAAACGGUGAAGGUUGCAAAGAAGCUGCUUUUAAGUAAUCUCUCGGCGGCUCAUAUUGAGAGGGAUAAUGAAGAUAGCUAUGCUGAUGUUCGGUAAGAUGCUUUCUGAGGAUCUUGAUUCAUGGAUGUUAAUUAUAUCUGGAUAUUCUAAAAAGGGCUUGUAAAGAGUGAAAAUAAAGGCUGAACUCAAGGACUCAAUGGUUAUAGUGCAAAGGAAAAAAAUGUGAUUUGGCUUAGAAGGGAGAAACGAAUGUUGGUGAUGGCAUGACAUCCUAUGAUGAAGUGAGAUCCUUUUCUCUUGAACUUUCUACCAGUUGCCAGCUUUACCUUUUUUAUAUGUAUCACCAUGCAAUAUUAGCACCCCUUACUUUAGAACUGAUCCACCAAUUAUUCUGUUGAGAAAUUCGUGCAAAAGAUUAUUUCACUAUUCUUGUGUAUUAAUGUACAAUGGAAACUAUAGAAUAGUAUGGUGUUUUUCUUCUUUUUCUUAUAUUAUGUCAGGACCACUUUUAUGCUU